UUAGAGCAAUCUCACGCUCAAAUCUUCCACUUCUCCUCAGAGCAGGGUCAAGAGCAUCAGGCCUGUUAGUAGCUCCAAUGACGAGAACAUAUCCAGAAGAAGUAGAAUCAGCAGCAUCAUUUUUAUCCCCCUUGUUACGAGGUCCAUCCAUACAAGUCAAUAACUGAGUAACAAUCCUCUUCUCCAUCUCUCGUUGCUGGUUCUCUCUCUUAGAUCCAAUGGCAUCAAUCUCAUCGAUAAACACAAUGGAAGGCGCAGUCCUAUAGGCUUUAGAGAAGAGCUCUCUGAUAUUCUCUUCAGAAGCACCAGAGACACCAGAAACGACUUCAGUAGCUGAAAUCUGAUAAAAGGGAACACCGACUUCAUUGGCAAUGGCAUUGGCGAGCUGAGUCUUGCCACAGCCAGGUGGACCAUGGAAGAGAAUGCCGCUUGGGGGCUUGACUCCCAUCGUCUUAAAGGGAGGAGGGUUGAGAAGAGGGAAGAGGACAUAAUUCUCCAAAUCAUCCAAUACUUUUUUAAUCCCACCAAAGUCUUUAAAAGUAGGUCCUCCUCCUCCUCCUUUAGUAUUACUAUUAUCAGUAGGAGUAGUUCCGCUCAUGGGAAGAGAGACUCUAGCUUCCUUUUUAAGCCCCAUCUUGCUUCUACCUUUGUUGUUGGUAACAGUCUCAACUUCCACAUUCUUUUCCACAACUGGUUUCUUGGCGGCGGGGCUAUUAUUCAUCUUAGCGUAGUUAUCUCGUAAGCUGUCAUUGAUCAAAUCAAACCUUGGACUCAACUUCUGGCUGUAUAUAGCGUCCUCAGAAGUGGAGAUAUCGCCACUGUCUUCUUCUUCAGACGAAGAAGAAGAAGACGAAGAAGGAGACUUGUCUCUAUUUCUCCUCUUGAGAUGAGAUUGCUCAGCUCGCUGCAGCUUCUCCUCUUUCUCAUCAACACGUCUCGGUUUCUUCAUCUUACUAGGAGCAGCAUCAGAAUCAUCGCCGCCGCCAUUGUUGUCAUCUUCCUCUUCGUCUUUGGCGGCACGCUUGUUGUUGUUGUUUCGGGCAGUGAGGACAUUCCUGACGUUGAGCAGGAGCACUUGACGGGUCAGCCUCGCGAAGUUACCGUAUCUGGAACGAAGGUCAUCGACGAUUUCCUCUGCCGUAGCUAAGUCCUUCCCGCACGAAUCCAUAACUUGACUCAGGUAUCUCCGAUUGAUUCCUCCGCCCAUACCACCGCCGCGACCUCUCCUCACCAUCCUACCUCUUUUUUAUAACCAAAGGGGUGAAUAUUGGAGGCGCAGAGUGAGGAAGCUGCUGCAGAAAAGCUUGUAGCUCCCUCAGAAAGCCCUAAUUUAAUUUGCUACUGAAGAAGAGAAAAAGUGUGUAUAAUUUGAAGAGUGGUGGUUAGUCUGAUUUAUUUUAUUUAUUUGGAAGGUAAUAACGGGAUAUUAUGAGAUUUAUAGGGCAAUUGUUAAUAAUAGCACUUUUGAAGUUUAUGUCUCAAAAAUAGCACUAGAAGGAGAAAGUCACAAAAAUGACAUUCAUUAAAGGGUAAAAUAUCCCUAAUACCCUUGGUUUAAAAUUAAAUAAAUAAACAAAAAUAAAUAAAAAUAAAUAAAAAAAAUAAUAAAAAAAAAAUAAUAAUAAAAGAAAUUUUUUUUAUAGUUUCAGAUUAUAUGUUUUCAGAUUCGAAAUUUUUAUAAUUUUUUUUUUGAAAUUUUUUUUUUGAAUUUUUUUUUUUUUCAAAUUUUCUUUUUAUAAUUUAAAAAUACUUUUUAAAACUGUUUUUAAAAUUUUUAUUUUUUAUUUUAAUAUUUUUUUUUUAUAAAAUUUUAAACCCUAAUUCCAAAACCCCACCCCCUGAACUCGAAACCCUAAAUUUUGGCUUAAUUAUUUAAAAUCUAAAAAAUUAUCAAUUCGAUUUCGGUUCGGUCUGGGUAUCCAUAAUAUUUUAAGAUAGAAACCGUUCAGGUUAUUAUGUUUUCUAGUUUGGUUUCAGAUCAGAUAAUUUCGGUUCGGUACUAGUUAAUUUUGCUUAGGCCUAUUCUGAGCUACGCAAUGAUCAUUAGAAAUGAUUUUUACUCUACAGUUACUUCCGACACAAACAACUGAGACUUUGCGCGGUUACUUGUGGUUACCAUCAGUCCAAGACAACACGAGCCAAACCUAUUAAUCGAAUGUUGCUCAGCUCUUCAUCUCCCUUCUAUAUCUUCUCUGUAUAUAUCCAUUUUACUACUACAUGAUUCUUCUUUUUAGUAAAUUUAACGACAACACUUGCUGGAACCACACGAAACUUGAUGAUCAUCAUAUCAUUGGGUCUUAAGUUUGGACAAGAAAAAUAAAACAUAUGGCAUCUCCCUCGGGAAAAUGGGAGUAUAACUUAAGAGAGUCCUUUAUUUUCCUCGAGGGCAAAAGUUGAUCCUACGUUGAUUUGCUCCAUGUUGUUUCUUCCCGUGCUUCUUUGUAGCUUCUUUGGAAGUUCCUCAUAGUGUUUUAUUUGCUGCACCAAAAACGAGAUUCCAUUUCAGCUUCUCAAAGUAACAGAGAGUCAGUGAAAGAAGAGCAUUAUUAUUAUUACCUGUUUGCUCACAGAUGGUGUGACUAAGGACAAGCCUUGCUCGAAAUGAGUCAUCUUGAUGGUACAAUCACUUAAAUCUAUAUUAUCAUCUUCAGACGACUCACUGGACCCGAACUUCUCCUUCACUGCCACGUGUAUCGCUUUGUCCAUCUUCAACAAAUUCAAACCAACCAUCAGAAUCAUACCACACAUUACACAACAUGGGAUGUAGUAGUCUAAAUGUCUAAUAAUUCAACAAAAAAAACAUGAAAGACAAGAUUACCAGGUUAGCGAGAUCAGCUCCGCUGAAACCUUCACAGUUCUUUGCAAUGGCAUCCAGAUCAACACUCGGAUCUAUUGGUCUCUUCUUUGCAAUUGAUUUUAGGAUUAAAACACGCUCAUCCGCGUUAGGCAGCGGUACGUAUACAAGAUUCCCAAACCUACCCGGUCUUAGUAAAGCAGAAUCAAUCACAUCGGGCCGGUUUGUAGCUCCAAUUACAUACACAUUACGUCUCUCUCCACCGUCCAGUUCAGUAAGAAACUGUGGACACAUCAAAGAAUCAACGCCUGAUUCAGAUUCAGGGUUGCAGAAUCCAAUAUAACCAAGAAAGCCUUUUUAUUUUAUUUUAUUACCUGGUUCAAAACACUUUCAACAACCGAACCACCUUCUCUGCCUCGACUUGUUGUCAAAGCAUCCACCUGAAAUUCAAAGACAUUACUCAACUCAUGUAUAACAAGAAUCAGACAGCUCUUGUUAAAGUUGCUUAGUUUGAAGAAUCUUCUUAAUAUAUUAACAUGUUUUCGCUUUAGUCAGACUAAGACUGUUCAAAUAAGUGAAACGACACAAACCUCAUCAAAGAAGAGUACACAUGGUGAGCUUGUCCGGGCGCGCUGAAACAAGGUCCUAAUAGCAAGCUCGCUUUCUCCAACGUAUUUAUUUAGAAGUUCUGGACCCUGAAAGCCAACGACAGAAGAUAGAAAAAAGUCACAUUAUUUCAACACCAUUCAUAUGCAAAAUAAACUCCAGAGAAAAAAAAUCUGGCGUGAAAAUCAAACCUUAAUGUGUAUGAAAUUAGCUCCUGCCUCGUUUGCAACUGCCUUUGCAACCAACGUCUUACCACAACCCGGUGGUCCAUAGAGCAAGAAACCUGUCUCUAAGCUCGCUCCAAAAGCCUAAAAAAAAUCCAAAGCGACACAUUCAUUUCAGACACUAAUGGAACAAGACUAUGUAGCGGUGGCAAGGGUUUUAUUACUACCUUGUAAAUCUCUGGAUUUUUGAUAGGCCUAACUAUGUAAUUGUUGAGUUCAAGCCGUAGAUGGUCAAGUCCACCAACAUCCCCCCAUGUAACAUUAGGCACGGUAGAGAAACCUUCUCUAGUUAAAGAUCCCUUAACUAACUUCACUGCUUCCUGGUAUGCAAAAAAAAAAAACAGACUCAGGAACCUAAGUGUAAAACGUUGUAACCAUUGAAGAAGUAGAGAAAAGUGACGUCAUUGAUAAACACACCUCGAAAUCAGACAUUCUGACAAAGAGCUUUUCCAAAUCUUCUUCUGACCAUGGCUGUCUCAGCCAAGACCUAUCAUCCUGGUUGUCACUGUCACCGGACAGUUGCAAUUUUCUUGAAUCCUUGACCCUCUUUAUGCCAAGACUUCCAGCCAUGUUGGCUACACCUUCCAAAUCGGCUCCAACAAAACCUGGUGUCAAGCGAGCGAUUCUUUUCAUGUCAAAGGAACCUUCAAGUCUAAGCCUUUGAGCUACAACAGAGAGUAUCUCAGCCCUGGCAUCUUCAUCAGGGACGUUUAGAGCAAUCUCACGCUCAAAUCUUCCACUUCUCCUCAGAGCAGGGUCAAGAGCAUCAGGCCUGUUAGUAGCUCCAAUGACGAGAACAUAUCCAGAAGAAGUAGAAUCAGCAGCAUCAUUUUUAUCCCCCUUGUUACGAGGUCCAUCCAUACAAGUCAAUAACUGAGUAACAAUCCUCUUCUCCAUCUCUCGUUGCUGGUUCUCUCUCUUAGAUCCAAUGGCAUCAAUCUCAUCGAUAAACACAAUGGAAGGCGCAGUCCUAUAGGCUUUAGAGAAGAGCUCUCUGAU
rnacentral:lncRNA from 1 species